CUCGAGUUGUCUCUCAUGUCUAGACCAUUUGUGAGAAGGGAUUUUCUGUUUGCAUCAUUCACUCCCACCAAUUUCUAAGUAUGCAAUAAGUAUUAUUCUCAGUUAAGAAAAAAACAAUCCUAUUAUUUGAGAUGCUUCUACAGCUUGAAAUAUGUUGUUUCGUUCUUUAUAUGGCUACCAAAACGUUAAGAAACCAGGUGAACAUUUCCCUAAAAAGGUCUAGCCUGUAGGUCAUAGUCAUUAGAGCCACCUCUCACUUCUCGAUUAAAAGGUGUUAUUUCUUCCAUCAAAAUCUGAUCCUUGAGGAGUUAGGUACAUAAGUAAGUACACAGAGUGAACACAUAACUUGAUAAUGUCAUUUACACUUUGGACAUUUUCCCAAGAGAUGCCAAAUUCUCAAUGGAUUUUGAGUUUUUCAAUGAUAGCUAAAAUUUGUAUCUAGCACUACUUAUAGCUACACUAGUAUACUUGAUAAUAUUUGGGGGAGUGGGGGAGAUGCUGUGUUAUUAUUCCCUUCUCAUCGAUGGUCUAGAUGUGUGAGGUGACUCUCAUGGAGG
rnacentral:pre_miRNA from 1 species